rnacentral:rRNA from 1 species
UUAUGGCUCAGGAUGAACGCUAGCUACAGGCUUAACACAUGCAAGUCGAGGGGCAUCAGAUCGAAAGCUUGCUUUGAUGCUGGCGACCGGCGCACGGGUGAGUAACGCGUAUCCAACCUUCCCUAUAGUAGAGAAUAGCCCGGCGAAAGUCGGAUUAAUGCUCUAUGUUGUAUUUAGAGGACAUCUGAAGAAUACCAAAGGUUUUACCGCUAUAGGAUGGGGAUGCGUCUGAUUAGGUAGUAGGCGGGGUAACGGCCCACCUAGCCGACGAUCAGUAGGGGUUCUGAGAGGAAGGUCCCCCACAUUGGAACUGAGACACGGUCCAAACUCCUACGGGAGGCAGCAGUGAGGAAUAUUGGUCAAUGGACGGAAGUCUGAACCAGCCAAGUAAGCGUGCAGGAUGACGGCCCUAUGGGUUGUAAACUGCUUUUAUAUAGGGAUAAAGUCGGGGACGUGUCCCCGUUUGUAGGUACUAUAUGAAUAAGGACCGGCUAAUUCCGUGCCAGCCGCCGC